CGAUGCAACGCGAAGAACCUUACCAGCCCUUGACAUGCUAGGUUUCGGAUUCGAGAGAUCGAUUCUUUCAGUUCGGCUGGGCCUAGUGCAGGUGCUGCAUGGCUGUCGUCAGCUCGUGUCGUGAGAUGUUGGGUUAAGUCCCGCAACGAGCGCAACCCUCAUCUUCAGUUGCCAUCAGGUCAAGCUGGGCACUCUGAAGAAACUGCCGGUGACAAGCCGGAGGAAGGUGGGGAUGACGUCAAGUCCUCAUGGCCCUUACGGGCUGGGCUACACACGUGCUACAAUGACGGUGACAGUGGGAUGCGAUGGCGCGAGCCGGAGCGAAUCUCCAAAAGCCGUCUCAGUUCGGAUUGCACUCUGCAACUCGGGUGCAUGAAGUUGGAAUCGCUAGUAAUCGUGGAUCAGCAUGCCACGGUGAAUACGUUCCCGGGCCUU
rnacentral:rRNA from 1 species